ACAGCACGCCGGACACGCCCAGUCCCUCCGGAGGGCGCGCACAGCAAGCAGGGCAGGUCCAGUCCUUCCAGAGGAGACGCACAGCAUGCCGGGCAUGAGCAGGCUCCUGUUCUUGGGAACAAACCAUCUGGAGAAAGAGCUGGAAUGGAGCCCAUCAGUGCUAAGCCUCCAGUGGUGCUUCACUGCUUCAGGAGGAUGCAUGGCUCAGCAGGACACACAGGGCUCAGCAGGUCACAGCCAUAGAUUCUCACGGGCAAAGACGAGAAGAUGGAUAAACAAGGAUUUGCCAAGGAGAAGAGGAUAAUGUCAUAUUUUCUCCCUCAUUGUGUCUGGAUGGGAUUGGAAAGUCUCCCUGGCCCACAUAGGAGCAUCAUAGAGUGAACCUACGUAAACCCAGAUGGCAGAGGCUCCAGCACACCUGGGCUCUGGUGUACCCUGUUGCUCCUGGCUACAAACCCAGGCAGCCUGGGGCUGUACUGAAUACUGCAGGCAAUUUGCAACACAAUG